rnacentral:rRNA from 1 species
AUGUUUGAAAAGUUUGGUGAAGAAUUGUAUAAGUGUGGUGCACAUGUGUUGGAUGAGGUGGUGCCUAGGAGGAUAUAUAAGUCGACCCAUGUAGAAGCGGACAAAAGGGAGAAGUGGAGCAAAGUUGAAUUCAAGAUAGAAGUGGAUGAAGACGAGAGUUUUUUUAGUUGCGAGUGCGGUUAUUUUGAACAUGCUGGGCUAGUGUGUUGCCAUGCACUCCAGGUGAUGGUGCACUUCCGGCUGCAGAAAAUACCACAGAAGCAUAUACUUAAACGAUGGACGAGAGAGGCGCGUGACAUUCUUCCUGACCACUUGGUUAGGUAUCAGAGAGACAGAGGGCCCCAAGCUAGUGACACAUUCAGACACCACACAAUGUACAUGAAAGCGCUUGAAUGUGUUGUGCUUGGAGACAGCAAUGUUAAAUGCUACGAUGUUUUCAUGUCUAUGAUGAAAGAAGUACAUGCGACUCUGCUCCCAAUAAGCGUUGAUAAAGAUGGAAUGGGGCUUGCAGAGAGAGAGAAAGAGAAGCAGGAUGCGGGGCUUGCAGAGAGAGAGAGAGAAACAGAAGCAGGAUGCAGCGCAGAAUGGCCGUGCGCCAAUGGAUGGCGAUGCUGUGGUGCAAAAACAUACAGGAGAUGGUGA